rnacentral:snoRNA from 1 species
AAGACUAUACUUUCAAGGGAUCAUUUCUAUAAUUUAUUACUAGGGAAGUUUCUCUUAAUAUGUGGAGUGCCAGAACCCAUAAGGAAGAGACACAGCGUUCUUGCCUGAGCAGGAAGCUGGCUCCUGGAAUUGCUUUAAUGCAACUCGCAUUAGCCGUUGAUGAGUCUUCUUACUCUUCCUUUGGGAGAGUAAGAGAGAGGACACAGUCUGAGUGGU